ACAGAAUAUGUUUAACAUGCAUCUAAUAUUAAUCACAUAUACAAAUAUUGCAAGAUAGAAAAUUAAAGGAGUUAAGGGUUAGAGAAGAUUGCACCAAGAAUUUAUACUGGUUCAGUUGUCAACUUGACAACCUACAUCCAGUCCUGAUAAUCCAAUCGGAUUUCAGAUUUUCUUCUCCAAUAGAAAGAAUCAAUUACAGAUUGUCCAGUUUCAUCCCCGAAACCUAUCUAUCUUAAUGAUCUCUUUCCUAUUGAUCACCCUCUGAUCCUUGUAGACACUCAGCAGUCUAACACAGAAUCACAGUGCGACUCUUUCUUGUUGAGCUUUCUCACCCAAGAAAGUAGCCACCAGUUUCUAGCUGGCUUUCUAUCAACCCUUUGAUCCUUGUAGACACUCAGCAGUCUAACACAGAAUCAAAGUACGACUCUUUCUUGUUGAGACCUCAAUGAUCUCUUUCCUAUUGAUCACCCUCUGAUCCUUGUAGAUACUCGGCAAUCUAUCACAGAAUCACAGUGCGACUCUUUCUUGUUGAGCACUCUCAUCCAAGAAAGUAGCCACCAGUUUCUAGCUGGCUUUCUAUCAACCCUUUGAUCCUUGUAGACACUCAGCAGUCU
rnacentral:lncRNA from 1 species